rnacentral:rRNA from 1 species
CGUGGGUAACCUGCCCAAGAGAUCGGGAUAACACCUGGAAACAGAUGCUAAUACCGGAUAACAACAGAUGAUGCCUAUCAACUGUUUAAAAGAUGGCUCUGCUAUCACUCUUGGAUGGACCUGCGGUGCAUUAGCUAGUUGGUAGGGUAACGGCCUACCGAGGCGAUGAUGCAUAGCCGAGUUGAGAGACUUAUCGGCCACAUUGGGACUUAGACACGGCCCAAACUCCUACGGGAGGCAGCAGCG